rnacentral:rRNA from 1 species
CACGUAGGGUGCGGGCGUUGUCCGGAAUUAUUGGGCGUAAAGAGCUCGUAGGCGGUGUGUCGCGUCGGCCGUGAAAACCUGCAGCUUAACUGUGGGCUUGCGGUCGAUACGGGCAUCACUGGAGUUCGGCAGGGGAGACUGGAAUUCCUGGUGUAGCGGUGAAAUGCGCAGAGUAUCAGGAGGAACACCGGUGGCGAAGGCGGGUCUCUGGGCCGAUACUGACGCUGAGGAGCGAAAGCGUGGGGAGCGAACGGG